rnacentral:rRNA from 1 species
GAUGAACGCUGGCGGCGUGCCUAAUACAUGCAAGUCGAGCGAACGGACGAGAAGCUUGCUUCUCUGAUGUUAGCGGCGGACGGGUGAGUAACACGUGGAUAACCUACCUAUAAGACUGGGAUAACUUCGGGAAACCGGAGCUAAUACCGGAUAAUAUUUUGAACCGCAUGGUUCAAAAGUGGAAGACGGUCUUGCUGUCACUUAUAGAUGGAUCCGCGCUGCAUUAGCUAGUUGGUAAGGUAACGGCUUACCAAGGCAACGACGCAUAGCCGACCUGAGAGGGUGAUCGGCCACACUGGAACUGAGACACGGUCCAGACUCCUACGGGAGGCAGCAGUAGGGAAUCUUCCGCAAUGGGCGAAAGCCUGACGGAGCAACGCCGCGUGAGUGAUGAAGGUCUUCGGAUCGUAAAACUCUGUUAUUAGGGAAGAACAUAUGUGUAAGUAACUGUGCACAUCUUGACGGUACCUAAUCAGAAAGCCACGGCUAACUACGUG